CCAAUAGCGUAUAUUAAAGUUGUUGCAGUUAAAAAGCUCGUCGUUGAACUUCGGGGUUCACCCAUUGGUCAGGCUUAAUUGUCUGUACUGGUGAGAUGAGUCUCUACCUUCUGAGGAACUUUCAUGCCAUUUAUUUGGUGUGAUUGGAAAUCAGGACUGUUACUUUGAAAAAAUUAGAGUGUUUAAAGCAGGCUAACGUCUGAAUACAUUAGCAUGGAAUAAUGAAAUAGGACGGACUGAUUCUAUUUCGUUGGUUUCUAGGAUCGCCGUAAUGAUUAAUAGGGAUAGUUGGGGGCAUUAGUAUUCAAUUGUCAGAGGUGAAAUUCUUGGAUUUAUUGAAGACUAACUACUGCGAAAGCAUUUGCCAAGGAUGUUUUCAUUAAUCAAGAACGAAAGUUAGGGGAUCGAAGACGAUCAGAUACCGUCGUAGUCUUAACCAUAAACUAUGCCGACUAGGGAUCGGAUGAUGUUAAUUUUUUAAUGACUCAUUCGGCGCCUUACG
rnacentral:rRNA from 1 species